AAUGAACGCUGGCGGCGUGCUUAACACAUGCAAGUCGAACGGGAAUUACUUUAUUGAAACUUCGGUCGAUUUAAUUUAAUUCUAGUGGCGGACGGGUGAGUAACGCGUGGGUAGCCUGCCUUAUACAGGGGGAUAACAGUCAGAAAUGGCUGCUAAUACCGCAUAAGCGCACAGAGCUGCAUGGCUCGGUGUGAAAGACUCCGGUGGUAUAAGAUGGACCCGCGUUGGAUUAGCUGGUUGGUGGGGUAACGGCGCACCAAGGCGACGAUCCAUAGCCGGCCUGAGAGGGUGAGCGGACACAUUGGGACUGAGACACGGCCCAGACUCCUACGGGAGGCAGCAGUGGGGAAUAUUGCACAAUGGGGGAAACCCUGAUGCAGCGACGCCGCGUGAAGGAAGAAGUAUCUCGGUAUGUAAACUUCUAUCAGCAGGGAAGAUAGUGACGGUACCUGACUAAGAAGCCCCGGCUAACUACGUGCCAGCCGCCGCAGUAAAAC
rnacentral:rRNA from 1 species